ACUCAAAUGAAUUGACGGGGAUCCACACAAGCGGUGGAGCGUGUUGUUUAAUUCGACAAUAAGCGAGGAACCUUACCAGGACUUGACAUCCUCGGAAUCUUCUGGAAACAGAAGAGUGCCUUCGGGAACCGAGUGACAGGUGCUGCAUGGUUGUCGUCAGCUCGUGCCUUGAGGUGUUCGGUUAAGUCCGUUAACGAGCGCAACCCUCGUCGCAUGUUGUUUUUUCAUGCGAGACUGCCGGUUUCAAACCGGAGGAAGGUGAGGAUGACGUCAAAUCAGCAUGGCCCUUAUGUUCUGGGCGACAAACGCGCUACAAUGGCCGGUACAAUGCGUAGCCAAGCCGUAAGGCGGAGCCAAUCGCAUCAAAGCCGGUCUCAGUUCGGAUUGGGGUCUGAAACUCGACCCCAUGAAGUUGGAAUCGCUAGUAAACGCCGAUCAGCCACGCGGCGUUGAAUAUGUUCCUGGAUCUUGUACACACCGCCCGU
rnacentral:rRNA from 1 species